CUCCGCGGGAGUUCCACAACUGAGGUAAUCUAGUAACGUUGGUUGUGGCCAACGUUACUAGAUUACCUCAGUUCUGGAACUCCCGCAG
rnacentral:pre_miRNA from 1 species